GAUCCUGGCUCAGGAUGAACGCUGGCGGCGUGCUUAACACAUGCAAGUCGAACGGGAAACUUUUUAUUGAAGCUUCGGUAGAUUUAAUUUGUUUCUAGUGGCGGACGGGUGAGUAACGCGUGGGUAACCUGCCCUAUACAGGGGGAUAACAACCAGAAAUGGUUGCUAAUACCGCAUAAGCGCACAGGACCGCAUGGUCCGGUGUGAAAAACUCCGGUGGUAUAAGAUGGACCCGCGUUGGAUUAGCUAGUUGGCAGGGUAACGG
rnacentral:rRNA from 1 species